rfam:Arabis alpina cultivar Pajares chromosome 6, whole genome shotgun sequence.
CCGACCUUAGCUCAGUUGGUAGAGCGGAAGACUGUAGUUGUUGCUGUAAUCUUUAGGUCGCUGGUUCGAUUCCGGCAGGUCGGA